GAUGAACGCUGGCGGCGUGCCUAAUACAUGCAAGUCGAGCGAACGGACGAGAAGCUUGCUUCUCUGAUGUUAGCGGCGGACGGGUGAGUAACACGUGGAUAACCUACCUAUAAGACUGGGAUAACUUCGGGAAACCGUAGCUAAUACCGGAUAAUAUUUUGAACCGCAUGGUUCAAAAGUGAAAGACGGUCUUGCUGUCACUUAUAGAUGGAUCCGCGCUGCAUUAGCUAGUUGGUAAGGUAACGGCUUACCAAGGCAACGAUGCAUAGCCGACCUGAGAGGGUGAUCCGCCACACUGGAACUGAGACACGGUCCAGACUCCUACGGGAGGCAGCAGUAGGGAAUCUUCCGCAAUGGGCGAAAGCCUGACGGAGCAACGCCGCGUGAGUGAUUAAGGUCUUCGGAUCGUAAAACUCUGUUAUUAGGGAAGAACAUAUGUGUAAGUAACUGUGCACAUCUUGACGGUACCUAAUCAGAAAGCCACGGCUAACUACGUG
rnacentral:rRNA from 1 species